rnacentral:rRNA from 1 species
UAGUCCACGCCGUAAACGAUGAACACUUGGUGUUGGGAGUAUUGACCCUCUCAGUGCCGUAGCUAACGCGUUAAGUGUUCCGCCUGGGGAGUACGGUCGCAAGAUUAAAACUCAAAGAAAUUGACGGGGCCCGCACAAGCGGUGGAGCAUGUGGUUUAAUUCGAUGCAACGCGCAAAACCUUACCUGGAUUUGACAUGUACCGGAAGUUCUCAGAGAUGAGGGCGUCUUCGGACUGGUACACAGGUGCUGCAUGGCUGUCGUCAGCUCGUGUCGUGAGAUGUUGGGUUAAGUCCCGCAACGAGCGCAACCCUUAUCUUUAGUUGCCAGCAUUUAGUUGGGCACUCUAGAGAGACUGCCGACGUUAAGUCGGAGGAAGGUGGGGAUGACGUCAAGUCCUCAUGGCCCUUAUAUCCAGGGGCUACACACGUGCUACAAUGGUAGGUACAGAGGGUC